rnacentral:rRNA from 1 species
CGAAAGCCUGACGGAGCAAGACCGCGUGAGGGAGGAAGGCCCUUGGGUUGUAAACCUCUUUUGUCAGGGAAGAAGAAAGUGACGGUACCUGACGAAUCAGCCUCGGCUAACUCCGUGCCAGCAGCCGCGGUAAUACGGAGGAGGCAAGCGUUAUCCGGAAUUAUUGGGCGUAAAGCGUCCGCAGGUGGCUAAUCAAGUCUGCCGUCAAAGGCCAGGGCUUAACCCUGGAAAGGCGGUGGAAACUGAUAGAGCUAGAGUGCGGUAGGGGUAGAGGGAAUUCCCAGUGUAGCGGUGAAAUGCGUAGAGAUUGGGAAGAACACCGGUGGCGAAAGCGCUCUACUGGGCCUGCACUGACACUGAGGGACGAAAGCUAGGGGAGCG